rnacentral:rRNA from 1 species
AGAGUUUGAUCCUGGCUCAGGACGAACGCGGCGGCGUGCCUAACACAUGCAAGUCGAACGGAGUUGCCCUUCGGGACAACUUAGUGGCCCCGAACGGGUGAGUAACGCGUGAGGAACCUGCCUUUCAGUGGGGGACAACAGUUGGAAACGACUGCUAAUACCGCAUAAUGUAUUUUGGGGGCAUCCCCUGGAUACCAAAGCUUUAUGUGCUGAAAGAUGGCCUCGCGUCUGAUUAGAUAGUUGGUGAGGUAACGGCUCACCAAGUCUGCGAUCAGUAGCCGGUCUGAGAGGAUGAACGGCCACAUUGGGACUGAGAUACGGCCCAGACUCCUACGGGAGGCAGCAGUGGGGAAUAUUGGGCAAUGGGGGAAACCCUGACCCAGCAACGCCGCGUGAAGGAAGAAGGCCUUGCGGGUUGUAAACUUCUUUUAGUAGGGACGAAUACGUGACGGUACCUACAGAAAAAGCAACGGCUAACUACGUGCCAGCAGCCGCGGU